rfam:Sphaerobolus stellatus SS14 unplaced genomic scaffold SPHSTscaffold_663, whole genome shotgun sequence.
GGCCGCCUGGCGUAAUGGCAACGCGUUUGACUUCGAUCGUCUUCGCAUCCGUGUGAUACUAGGAUAUCAAAAGAUUACAGGUUCGAUCCCUGUGGUGGUCG